rnacentral:lncRNA from 1 species
GUGGCCGAGCACGACAAGGACGUGCAGCAGCUCUGCGAGACCCUGGAGCAGCAGAUCCAGCAGGAGCAGCUGCGGCUGCAGCAGCAGAGCAUGGCCCGGAGCCGGCAGCAGGGCGAGGAGCUGCAGCGGGUGCUGGAUGCCAGCGAGAGGGAGGUGCAGCGCUUGGUCACGGCGCAGAUGGAGCUGGAGCGGCGCUGCCACAGCCUGCAGAGCUCCCAGCAAGCGACCAGCACGGAGAACCAGCAGCUGCAGGAGAGCAACCGGGCCCUGCAGCAGCACCUGCAGCACCUGCACCAGCAGCUGCAGCACACCCAGGGCCACCUGAGGACCAUGAGGGCGACAGUGGCCUGGGAGCACAUGGGGGAGCCCGGGGACAGAGUGGUGGCAGAGUUGCCCAUCGUGGUGCCAUUGUCCCCACAGCUGAGUCCUGGGAAGAGCGAGAAGUUCCGCUCCG